CUCUCUUCUUCAUCUCUUUCUCUUUCUUCAUUAUCUCUCUCUGUUUCUUCAUUAUCUCUCUCUCUCUUUCAAUCUGCAGAUCUGCAACUUCAUCUUUACACACUCUUCUCUCUCUCUAUAAACACCACCAACAACCAUACACCACCAUCACCACAAUAAUCCACCACCAUACACCACCUCCGGCCCCACCUCUGGCAUCACAAUUAGAGCCAUCGCUACCAUCCCACCACCACCCUCCACCACCAGCCCCACCACCGCACCACCAUCAUCCCAACCACUGCACUACCAUAAUUGCGAUUUUCAAACUAGUUUAAAUUCCAAGAAUUUUGUAAUUGUGAGUCUGAAAUCCGCUUUGAGUCUUGACAAACCGGAUGAUGAAUUGUAUAAGGAAACUAGUUUCAUGUGGGAUCCUUGACUUGGAUGGAACACUUGUAAAUACAGCCAUAAACAACGAAGUUGCAGCGUACUAAUGCGAAGAAAUUAGACCGAAAGAUAUAAAAUAAUAACUAAGUCGAUUCGGCACCCACCCAUUGCGACGAACCUAUCAAACGAGAAAAAUAGACGAUGUAAAAACGUUCAACCACACAUGCACGUUGCGUUGUAUUAACUCACAAAAAUUAGACUAAAGCGUAAAAAAGAAACGUAAAAACUUUGAACCACACAUGCACGUUGCGCCGUGUUACUAUAACGCCUCGCUUUUUGUAACUUUCACUAUUUAGCAAGAUCAUUGUACUUUCCAUUUAUGGAGACUUGUAUUCCUUUGUAUUCGUAU